UAAAGCUACAAAGAGCUAAUGGGGAAUGCCUUGGUACUGACAGCCGACGAAGGACGUGUAAAGCUGCGAUAAGCCACGGGGAACUGCUAAAAGGUCUUGAUCCGUGGAAAUCCGAAUGGGGAAACCCUCCAGAGUUAAAACUUUGGAACCCGUAACUGAAUACAUAGGUUGCGCGGAGGAAAGCCUGUGAACUGAAACAUCUUAGUAACAGGACGAAGAGAAAAUAAACCAAUGAUUCCGAGAGUAGCGGCGAGCGAAAUUGGAAGAGCCUAAAUUGUGUGUACGUGAUAGCCUGCAAGCGUUGUGCACAUGAGGUUGUGGGACUUGCAUCAUAUUUUGCAGAAUAUGGAUUGAGUUAGAAAAUUAUUUAUUAGUUAAAGUCAACUGGGAAGUUGCGCCAUAGAGAGUGAUAGCCUCGUAAACGACAAUAAAUAAUCUCAAGUAAGUAUCCCGAGUAAGGCGGGGCACGUGAAACCCUGUCUGAAUCCACCGGGACCAUCCGGUAAGGCUAAAUACUAGUCAGUGACCGAUAGUGAACGAGUACAGUGAUGGAAAGGCGAAAAGAACAGUGAGAAGCUGAGUGAAAUAGACCCUGAAACCGUUAGCUUACAACCAGUCAGAGCACAAUUAAUUGUGUGAUGGCGUGCCUGUUGAAGAAUGAGCCGGCGAGUUAUUUUUUGUUGCGAGGUUAAGGAGAUCAUAUCCGGAGCCACAGGGAAACCGAGUCUGAAUAGGGCGUUAAGUAACAGGAAAUAGACCCGAACCUUGGUGAUCUAACCUUGACCAGGAUGAAGCGUGGGUAACACUACGUGGAGGUCCGAACCAACCGAUGUUGAAAAAUCGGUGGAUGAGUUGAGGUUAGGGGUGAAAUGCCAAUCGAACCAAGAGCUAGCUGGUUCUCCCCGAAAUGCGUUUAGGCACAGCGUUGGAUUUAUCUUGCAGGAGGUAGAGCACUGGUUUUGUGCGGGCGUCGAAAUGAUGUACCAAACAAUGUCAAACUCCGAAUACCUGUAAUGUCAUUAUCCAGCAGUGAGGCUAUGAGUGAUAAGAUCCAUGGCCAAGAGGGAAACAGCCCAGAACGCCAGUUAAGGUCCCUAAUAUAUGCUAAGUGGUUAAGGAGGUAGAGUUACUGAGACAACCAGGAGGUUGGCUUAGAAGCAGCCAUCCCUUGAAAGAGUGCGUAAUAGCUCACUGGUCAAGUGACUCCGCGCCGAAAAUACACCGGGACUAAAGCAUAUAACCGAAGCUGCGUCAUAUAGUUUACUAUAUGGGUAGGGGAGCGUACUGUAGUAAGACGAAGCUAGAGUGAAAACACUAGUGGAUGAGGCAGUAGUGAGAAUGUCGGCAUAAGUAGCGAAAACAUUGGUGAGAAUCCAAUGCACCGAAAACCUAAGGUUUCCCACGGCAGGCUCGUCCGCGUGGGGUUAGUCGGAUCCUAAGCUCAGGCCAAACGGCGUAGGCGAUGGACAAUAGGUUGAUAUUCCUAUACUAUCUGAUAAUCGUUAUCAGAAGCGGAGGGACGCAAGAGGAUAAGCACGCAGUCGAAUGGAAGAGACUGUAUAAGCGUGUAGCUAGGUUUGACAGGAAAAUCCGUCAAAUCGUUAAUGUGAGGCGUGAUGUGGAGAGUCUACGGACUCGAAGGUGUUGACUCCAAAUUGCCAAGAAAAUCUUCGCUCUCGAGAUUAUUGGGUAUCCGUACCGUAAACCGCCACAGGUAGGUUGGUAGAAAAUACUAAGGUGCGCGAGACAACUCUCGCUAAGGAACUCGGCAAAAUCACCUCGUAACUUCGGGAGAAGAGGUACCCUGGUAGCGUGAAGCGAUUUACUCGUGAAGCGUGAUAGGGUCGCAGUGAAUAGGCCCAAGCGACUGUUUACCAAAAACACAGGUCUCUGCUAAGUCGAUCAAGACGAUGUAUAGGGGCUGACGCCUGCCCGGUGUCGGAAGGUUACGCGGAAAUGUUAGAAGCAAUUCAAAGCAUCGAAGCUAAGCCCCGAUGAACGGCGGCCGUAACUAUAACGGUCCUAAGGUAGCGAAAUUCCUUGUCAGGUAAG
rnacentral:rRNA from 2 species